UAAAGGGCUCAGAUCCGGCAUUCUCCUCUCAGCCUGCCACUCAGUAUCCCUGCGUCCUCGGGCAUUUCAACUCCCAGGUCUCAGUUUUGCUGCUCAUAAAAUGGUUGGACCAUCCGAAAGCGAGGUGUGCGGGCGGGUGGAAGGAGGAAGGUGAGGGUUCUUCCUAGAGGUGACCAGGUGAGGCCGGGAGUCGAGCAUUUUCAUAAGAUUGCUCGCGGACGCGGGGGUGGGUGGAGAGCAUCACGAUUAAGAAGGAACACACGCACGCACACACACACCUCCUUCCUCCUUCCCCUCCUCUUCCUCUCACCCCGCCCCCCGGGGGGCGGUACCCUAGUCUCCCGGGGGAGGUUUUGGGGCGGAGGACCGCGGAGGACUGCGCCCAGGAGGGUGGCCGGCCGCGGGAGGAGGACUUGGGGUCGGGCUGCUGCAGCUGGGUGGCCAGCGCCGCGGCGGCCCCUCCCCCGCUCUCCCUGGCCGCCGCCCCCUCCUCCUCCCGUCCUCCUCCUCCUCUCCCUCCUCCCGGUCCCCCAUCCUCCUCCCGGCCCCCGGCAGCUGCGGCUCGGGGAGCAGCCGGCGGCGCCGCGGCCGCGCAGCCUUUGUCUCGGGCCGCCGGGCGCGCGGGGCCCAGCGCAGGCAGGCCACGCGGGGACGGAGGAGGCAGAGAGGACGGGCUGUGAUGGAGAAACGGGAGAGGAGCCGGCCAGGCGCCACCGUCACCACCAUCACCAACCACCACCACCAUCACCAUCACUGACUGUCGCCCAUCCCAGCUCCCCUGCCUCACCUCCCAUCUCAUAUCCCUGUGCAGUGCCAACUUUAUCAGAUCAUCUCUUUUUCACUGGGUACUACUUUGGAAAAGCGACAGAGUGCGCCAAGUCAGGAAUAAGUACAUCCGCUGUGGGACAUUUAUCUUCCCCUUUCUAUUUAGCUACCUCAAUUUUCUCAUCAGGAAAGGGGGCACAAUGGCAUUUCAUUCCUCUAAAUCACACUGAGAUGGCUGGGUUGCUUCCAGUUUUUCCAGUCCUGGCACUGGACGGUUAUACAUGCUUGGUGAUGAUGAUGAUAAAGUAAUGUCUUCAUUAAAUUGGACAGUUGGGAGUUUUCAGACUUACUCUUCUUUGACUUCUGAGUGUCAGUAUACCAGUAGCAAAUAGAAACAUAAGGAAAGUGAAACUUUGGCUAACAUAAUACCAAGAAUAGAUGCAAAACAGGCACUUUUGUAGGGACAUCACCCAAGAGACCUGCAGGCAAUGGUAUUCAUCUGCAGUGUAGAAAGCACCCCAUCAGUGCCAAGUGGCUGUGGGAGCUCCUCAAUCUGGAUGCACAGUUUCCCGUGGGGUUUUCACCCUACCUAAAGAAUGCUUUAAUUGCUGUUUUUCAAAAUUGUCUUUCACCAGGCCCCAGGGACGGCUGACCAUUCAGAACAAACACAGGGACAGAGCCCCAGGGCUGUUGGGAAGCCCAGCACCAGAGGGCAUGAACCUUCUUAGGAGAAGUAAAACUUACAAAAAACAAGCUCUUAAACCCUCCGCCUUUUCCCCUAUUGGUUAGAAAGUGAAUCUUAAACUGUGUUUUAUGUUCUAGUCUAAUAAAAGACAGCUAGACAAGCCUACGUUUCUUGACAUGCUUGGAAAAUCAUCUUCCCGAAAAGUCAUGCAGCAGGGCUUUUUUUUUUUUUUUUUCGACUGAGUCUCACUCUGCCUCUCAGGCUGGAGUGGAGUGGCAUGAUCUCAGCUCAGUGCAACCUCUGCCUCCCGGGUUCAAGUGAUUCUCCUGCCUCAGCCUCCCGAGUAGCUGGGAUUACAGGCGUGGGCCACCAUGCUUGGCUAAUUUUUGUAUUUUUAGUAGAGACAGGGUUUUACCAUGUUGGCCAGGCUGGUCUCGAACUCCUAACCUCAGGUGAUCCGCCCGCCUCGGCCUCCCGAAGAGUUGGGAUUACAGGCGUAAGCCACCACGCCCAGCCAGGGCUCCUUUUUAAUAGGGCUAUGGAGUCCCCCACCUGGUGGUUUUUUUGCCCUGUGCCCUGUUUUUACAAUUCAAGAAGGAAAGUGAUCAUAUUAAAAAUAAUGUGAACCCAGCUGAGCUGCAUUUGUCGUUACCAUAGUUUAAGAUUUCUCAAAUGUUGAAGUAUAAUUAUAUGUCAUUAACUCAAACCUCUCUAAUUUGUGAAGUAGGGUUUUAAAUAGGGUAUGUAAUUCUGUGGAGAAUGACUCCGAAAUCAUUCUGAGGACCUGAAGUUUAAGUAAGGCAUAGUCAGUCUAAAACAAUGACAUUGUCAGAACGAAGACUUAAAGAAUUAUUUAGCUAUGUUUUUAAUUCUGGAUCUUUAGGAAAUAAUUAGCAUCUCAAGGAAGCUUCAUGCCAAUGAUAGUGUCUUAGUCUUUUGGGUCUGCUAUCACAAAAUGCCUUAGACUGGGUGAUUCUGAACAAGAGAAAGGUAUUGCUCACAGUUCUUGAGUCUGGCAAGUCGUGGAUCCAGGUGCUGUGGAUUCAGUGUCUGGUGAGGGCUAGCUCUCUGCUUCAUAGAUGGCACCUUCUAUGUGUCCUCACAUGGUACAUGGGGCACACAGGCUCCCUUGGGCCUCUUUUAUAAGGGCACUAAUCCCAUUCAUGACAUGGGGCGUUCAGAAGCUAAUCUCCUAAAGUCCCACCUCUUGAUACUGUUGCCUUGGGGAUUAGGUUUCAACGUAUGAAUCUGUGGGGACACCAACAUUCAGACUGUGACAGGUUGGCAUUGAGUACCAAGUUAUAUCCAACACGCAUUGUUUUAGCCCAUACAAAUUGUUAUAGCCUAUACUAAUUCUAUGUUAAUUUAGGAACAAUUCAUUUGCUUUUGUUGAGAUAUGAUUUACAUACAUAAAAUGCACAACUCUUCAGUGGACAGCUUGAUGAAUUUUUGCCUAUGUGCCCCCUGCAAUAAGAUACAGCCUAUUUCCACAGGCCUAAGGGAUCCCCUGAUGCCCUUUCUAGUCAGUACCCCCCCAACAGAGCCACUAUCCCUUCAAUGGAGCCACUAUUGGACUUCUAUCAACAUAGAAAAAUAAUUUCUUUUAAAAUAAUUUCUAAGUAAUUUAUUUUGCACUUCACUCCAUUAAAUGCAAUUGGCCUAUUCCUUAAAUGCAUUUGGCCUAUUCCAUUUAUGACCAAAUCUGGGGGCCCUGAGCCCAGUGCUGUGUAGACAUGAGACUGUGUAGACCUGAGACAUGGUAUUAUUAAUACAUAAGGCAAAAACUUCCACAAGCAGAAGCAAUACCCUGUAUGCAGAUACAGAGGGUUAGGGGAACCCACAAGAGUCUGGGUCUAACCCAGUUUUGUUUUGUUUGUGGGGGGAAAGGGAAGGCUUUUUGGAGGAUGUGAAUUUUAAGUUGAAAAUGGAAAACUGAGUAGAAGUGAUCCAGCUAAAACGUGGUAGGAGGAAAAUGAAAGCCUAUUCUAGGUGGAAGGAACAUCUUGAAUUCCAGCCUCAGAAAUAAGACAGCAUGGAGUGUUUGAAGAGCAAAGCUAAGCUGAAGAUGCUUGGAGUAUAGGGCUGUGGGAGAAAAGUGGGAAAUAAUGCUGGAAAGGCCAUAGGGACCCUUUCAGUUUGACACAAAGGCCCUGCUGAGGGGUGGGGCUUGGCUGUAAGAGCUAGGAGAGCUCUAGGACAGGCUUGCGUGGUGGGCAUGGCAGGAGGAGACUUGAGGACUCAGCAGGCGGCCUUAGGGUCGGGAGAUUACAGGAGGCGCAGGUGGGGGGCCAAGUGGUCAUUCAGGUAAGAGACAGUGGUGACCUGGACUAUGCAGUGGCAACAGGAAUGGGGAGAAAUGAAUGAAAUGGAAAGAGAAUUACAAGGUAAAAUGAACACAAAUUGAUGUUUGCUAGGUGAGAAUUCAAGGAUAGCCCUUAGGUUUCUUGGAUCUUACAAAAUGGAUGGAUAAUGGUACUCUUGGAGAGAUGAGAGAAGAAUCUUGUAUAUAUUAUAUGCUCCUUUGGUAUGUUUCUUUCUGUGUGGACUUAGUUUCGGUUGCAAGUUAGUGUGAUGCAUUCAGGUAGAAAUAUCUACUGGGGAGUUGUAACUCAUACUGACUGAGCACACUCCAUAUGCCAGGCAUGCUCCGUCACUUAGGAUGCAGUUGUGAACAAGACGAUGAAAACCCUGCCUUUGUGAAACACAGGUGGGAGCUGCAGCCUGGGGACCCACAAGGUUUAAGUGGUGACAGAAGGCUUCAGAGUGAAUGAGAUGGCUCAGUCAGAUUUCAGUGAAAGAGCAGCAGCCCAGGAUAAAAUCUCAAGAACGCUAAGAGACUAAGAAGGAACAAAGGAGAGAUGGCAAGGAAAGCAAGAGAAGUUGGGCUUCACAGGCCUAGGGAGUGAUCCCUAGUGUCAUACACAACUGUGAAGUUAAGGGAGAUGAGGACUAGAGAUGAUCUACUGCAGUGCUUCUCAAAGUGGGGUCCCCAGACCAGCAGCAGCAGCACCAGGAGCUUGUUGCAAUUGCAGUUUCUUGAGAUCUACUCCAGACCUGGUGACUCUGGGAGCUCUGAGGGAAGGGCCUAGCAAUCUAUGUUUUAACAAGGUUUCCCAGUGAUCCUGAUGCAUGCUAAUGUUUGAGCACCACAGCUCUAUUGUGUUAAUUGAUAAGUCACUGGUGAUGCAGCAACUUGGUGAAAAUAACUUCAUAAAAUUUACACCCUGUUUGGGCAAAUUUUAAAAAUGUUUCGUGGGACUGUUAAAGUUUUAUUCUAUUUGUUUAGAAAUUUCAAAUGUUUUAUUUUCUUUUGCAAUAAAAAUGUUGUUAUUUUCUUUUGUAC
rnacentral:lncRNA from 1 species